AACGUAGGUACCGAGCGUUAUCCGGAUUUACUGGGCGUAAAGCGCGUUCAGGCGGUUUGGCAAGUCGGGCAUGAAAUCUCUCGGCUCAACCGGGAGAGGUUGUCCGAUACUGCCGGACUUGAGUGCAGUAGAGGGUGGUGGAAUUCCGGGUGUAGUGGUGAAAUGCGUAGAUAUCCGGAGGAACACCAGUGGCGAAAGCGGCCACCUGGACUGCGACUGACGCUGACACGCGAAAGCUAGGGGAGCGAACGGG
rnacentral:rRNA from 1 species